AUAUGCCCCAUGUCUACGUGGCUUAGCUGAAGCUGACACGGACAUGGCAGAGAAGAAAAUGAGAGAACCCCACAGCACCUAACCCGUGGCAUGGCAUGAAAUGGGCAUAUCCACUGAGAUCCCGACACGUAAACACAAUGGAUGUUUAGGGUGCGUAUUACGCAUGCGGUGUAGAAUAGAGUGGGGUCGGAGGCUUGCGGGCGGUUGGUAAAAAUGUUGAAACCGUACUGAUCAUAUGGUGAGGACCACUUUUACUGCCUCGUGCAUCUAAUCAUUCCGGGGAAUUCUUAUCAGCUUCCUUUUAUUCUCACUUCUACCCAUUAUUAUUAUUAUUAUUAUUAUUAUUAUUACAACCACUAACAAAGGACGGUGUUGUUCACUUCCUACCACAACAAUGUUUACUGAAAUCGUG
rnacentral:lncRNA from 1 species